UGCCAUCAAAGAACUAACUUUUACCUUCACUAACUUUAUUUCACAAAAUUUUAAAUUUCUUGACAAAAGAGCUAAUCAAAAGAUCAAAAUUCAUAUAGGAACAUAAAGAAAAAGAAAGUAGACAAGGAAUUAGGAUCAAAAGAAAUAUUGUUUUUAAUAUUUAGAAAAUUUUUAAUCCAUAUAGAACUCUAGCAUGCCCCUCCUUGGCGAAGUAGAGCUCUUCCAUUCUCCGACAUGCCCAUCUUAUGAGCAAGAUAAUC
rnacentral:lncRNA from 1 species